rnacentral:rRNA from 1 species
UACAGAGGUCCCAAGCGUUGCUCGGAAUUACUGGGCGUAAAGGGAGCGUAGGCGGAUAGUUCAGUCAGAGGUGAAAGCCCAGGGCUCAACCUUGGAACUGCCUUUGAUACUGGCUAUCUUGAGUUUGGGAGAGGUAUGUGGAACUCCGAGUGUAGAGGUGAAAUUCGUAGAUAUGCGGAAGAACACCAGUGGCGAAGGCGACAUACUGGCCCAAUACUGACGCUGAGGCUCGAAAGCGUGGGGAGCAAACAGG